UCGGGGAGGCGGGACGGGAGCGCGCGGUGCCGGUGGGUCGCCGCCUAGCGCCGCGAAGUUGCCGGCUUAGGGGUCUGAGUCUGUGAGGAGAGGUAGCCAUCGUCUCCCCCAGCCCGCGCCGCGACGACACUGCCCCCCAGGGCCGCCGGCGCCCCCAGCCCGACGUCCGUCAUCUCGACCCCCGCUUAACUCGACGCCUCCCAACCCCGACGCCCCUCAGCUGGACGCCCCUAAACCCGAUGCCCCCAGCCCGGGUGCUCCUCAACCCGACACCCCUAAACCGAGUGCCCCCUCCACCAGACGCCCCCCCAACCUGAGAGCCUUCAACCGGACGGCCCCUUACCCCCUACCCUCCAACCCUGCGCCCUCCCUUAACCACGCCCUCCCUCCGCUCCCUGCCUUCAGCCCCGCUGCCCCCGGCUCCCCAGUUCUCCUGGACUUGACCAGCUUCCCUCUGGCCCCACGCUGUGGAGCAAGCGGAGCAGCUGAAGGCGCUUCCGUCGUGUGGCAGCCAUGGAGCAAGAGGAGGACACUGGCCCAGAGGUGGGCUUCCAUCUGGCCGCCCUAUGGUCCUGGGGUCUGGAGCUGAUGGAGCAGCAUUCCCAGUCCACCAUGCUGCUGGGGAUUGUGAUUGGAGUCUUCCUGGCCCUGGCCCUCAUCGGCACCACCAUCUUUUUUGUGUACAGAAGGGUUAGCCAAUUCCGACAGGUGCAGCCCAGUCCUCAGUACAGGUUCCGGAAGAGAGACAAGGUGAUGUUCUACGGCAGGAAGAUCAUGAGGAAGGUGACCACACUUCCCCACACACUUGUGGGGAACACAGCUGCCCCCCGGCAGCGGGUGAGGAAGAGGACCAAGGUGCUGUCUUUGGCCAAGAGGAUCCUGCGGUUCAAGAAGGAAUAUCCUACCUUGCAGCCAAAGGAGCCCCCGCCCUCCCUGCUGGAGGCUGACCUCACAGAGUUUGAUGUGAAGAAUUCUCACCUGCCGUCAGAAGUUCUGUACAUGCUGAAAAAUGUCCGGGUCCUGGGUCACUUUGAGAAGCCGCUAUUCCUGGAACUUUGCAAACACAUGGUCUUUGUGCAGCUUCUGGAAGGCGAGUACAUCUUCCGGCCGGGGGAGCUGGACAACAGCAUCUAUGUGGUGCAGGAUGGGCGGCUGGAGGUCCGCGUCCAGGACUCGGCGCAGGACGGCACUGAGGUGACGGUCAAAGAGGUUCUGGCUGGAGACAGCGUCCACAGCCUCCUCAGCAUCCUGGACGUCAUCACCGGCCAUGCCGCACCGUACAGAACGGUGUCCGCCCGCGCUGCUGUCCCCUCCACCAUCCUCCGGCUCCCGGCUACGGCGUUUCAAGGAGUUUUUGAGAGAUAUCCUGAAACUCUGGUGAGGGUGGUGCAGAUCAUCAUGGUGCGGCUGCAGAGGGUCACCUUUCUGGCUCUGCACAACUACCUGGGCCUGACCACGGAGCUCUUCAACCCCGAGAGCCAGGCCAUCCCGCUCGUGUCUGUGGCCAGCGUGACUGCCGGGAAGGCCAAGAAGCCGACGUGCUGCAGUCUGGAGGAGAGGCUGGAGAGGCCACCUCGGUCCCAGGAGCCCUGCGGCCCAGAUCCUGGGGGCAGCCGCGCCGCAGUCUGUGGGCCUCUGCCCAAGAGGAGCCACCCCGUCCUGCUGCCUUCUGUCCACGAAGAGGUGGCGGCCAAGCUCAGCCAGGCCCAGGCUGGCAUCCAGGCCUCUUCGGCUCCUGCAGGUGCCACCUCAGACCUGAGGAUGGUGUGUGACCGAGCCCGGGUCCUGCCGCCCACAGAAGAGCGCCCCGGUGGCGCGGUGGCCAGCAAGUCCAAGAAGAAUGUGGUUGCAGAGACCCCAUCGGCUGUCCUCCCCAACUUGGACGGUACCUUGGAUGAGUCUGUUGCCAGCAAGAAGACAGACUCCAUCCUCAGAGCUGCCACACAGGACCUGCUCACCCUGAUGAAGCUGGAUGACCCUUCGCUGUUGGAUGGCCGGGUGGCGCUGCUCCAUGUCCCAGGGGGCACGGUGGUGUUGAAGCAGGGAGACCAGGACACGAGCAUCCUCUUCGUGGUCUCGGGGCUGCUGCACGUGUACCAGCGGAAGAUUGACAGCGAGGAGGACACGUUCCUGUUCAUGGCACGGCCUGGCGAGAUGGUGGGCCAGCUGGCGGUGCUCACGGGCGAGCCCCUCAUCUUCACCAUCAAGGCCAACCGGGACUGCAGCUUCCUGUCCAUCUCCAAGGCGCACUUCUACGACAUCAUGCGGAGGCAGCCGGCCGUGGUCCUGAGUGUGGCGCACACCGUGGUGAGGCGGGUGUCCUCCUUCGUGCGGCAGAUCGACUUCGCCCUGGACUGGAUGGAGGUGGAGGCCGGCCGCGCCAUAUACAGGCAGGGGGACAAGUCCGACUGCACCUACAUCGUGCUCAGCGGCCGCCUGCGCGCUGUGAUCCAGAAGGACGACGGCAAGAAGCGCCUGGCGGGCGAGUACGGCCGUGGAGACCUCGUGGGCGUGGUGGAGACGCUCACCCGCCAGGCCAGGGCAACCACAGUGCAUGCUAUUCGGGACUCAGAGCUGGCCAAGCUUCCUGAAGGGGCCCUGAACUCCAUCAAGCGCCAGUACCCGCAGGUUGUGACUCGACUGAUUCGCCUCUUGGGUGAGAAGAUCUUGGGUAGCCUCCAGCAGGGAGCUGCGGCAGGUCACCAGUUUGGGUUCCACACUGUGGGCAGCAAGUGGGACUCGGGGAACCCUGCCAGCAACCUUUCCACAGUGGCCGUCCUGCCGGUGUCGGAGGACGUGCCCCUCACUGCCUUCACCCUGGAGCUCAGGCAUGCCCUCAGCGCUAUCGGCCCUGCCCUGCUGCUGACCAGUGACAGCAUGAAACAGCGCCUUGGCUCCGCUGCUCUGGACAGUAUCCACGAGUACCGGCUGUCCAGCUGGCUGGGGCAGCAGGAGGACAUCCACCGGAUCGUGCUCUACCAGGCGGACGGCACGCUCACGCCCUGGACCCAGUGCUGCAUCCGGCAAGCGGACUGCAUCCUCGUCGUGGGCCUGGGCGAGCGGGAGCCCGGGGUCGGCGAGCUGGAGCGGAUGCUGGAGACUUCGGCCGUGCGCGCCCAGAAGCAGCUGGCACUGCUGCACCGGCAGGACGGGCCCGCGCCGGCCCGCACCGCGGAGUGGCUCAACAUGCGGGGCUGGUGCUCCGGCCACCUGCACCUCUGCUGCCCUCGCCGAGUCUUCUCCAGGAGGAGCCUGCCCAAGCUGGUGGAGCUGUACGAGCGGGUCUGCCAGAGGCCCCCGGACCGGCACUCGGACUUCUCCCGCCUGGCGAGGGUGCUGACCGGCAAUGCCGUCGCCUUGGUCCUUGGGGGAGGGGGAGCAAGGGGCUGCGCGCAGGUGGGUGUCAUCCGGGCCCUGACGGAGUGCGGCAUCCCGGUGGACAUGGUCGGAGGGACGUCCAUCGGGGCCUUCAUGGGCGCCCUGUACUCGGAGGAACGCAGCUACAGCCAGAUCCGCAUCCGGGCCAAGCAGUGGGCGGAGGACAUGAUGUCGAUGGUGAGGACCAUGCUGGACCUGACCUACCCCAUCACUUCCAUGUUCUCGGGGGCUGGCUUCAACAGCAGCAUCUCCAGCGUCUUCAAGGACAGGCAGAUUGAGGACCUGUGGAUCCCGUACUUCGCCGUCACCACAGACAUCUCCGCCUCGGCCAUGCGGGUCCACACGGACGGAUCGCUGUGGAGGUACGUGCGUGCCAGCAUGUCCCUGUCGGGUUACAUGCCUCCACUCUGCGACCCCAAAGACGGGCACCUGCUGAUGGACGGGGGCUACGUCAACAACCUCCCAGCGGAUGUGGCCAGGUCGAUGGGGGCAAAGGUGGUGAUCGCCAUUGAUGUGGGCAGCCGGGAUGAGACAGACCUCACCAACUACGGGGACGCGCUCUCGGGCUGGUGGCUCCUGUGGAAGCGCUGGAAUCCCUUGGCCACGAAGGUCAAGGUGCUGAACAUGGCUGAGAUCCAGACACGCCUGGCCUACGUGUGCUGUGUCCGGCAGCUGGAGAUGGUGAAGAGCAGCGAGUACUGCGAGUACCUGCGCCCCCCGAUAGACGGCUACGGCACCCUGGAGUUCAGCAAGUUUGAUGAGAUCUGCGAGGUGGGGUACCAGCACGGCCGGACAGUGUUUGACAUCUGGGGUCGCAGCGGCGUGUUGGAGAAGAUGCUGCAGGACCGGCAGGGGACGAGCAAGACGAAGGCGAGCGACGCAGGGUCGCAGAGAGGGCGGGUGCAGUCAGGAGCAGGGCAGAUGGCCUCUUCGCCUCCACCCCCAGGUCCUCACCUGCCCCAACGCCUCCUUCACGGACCUUGCUGAGAUAGUAUCGCGUAUCGAGCCUGCCAAGGUGGCUGCUGGGGAUGAUGAGUCUGACUACCAGACUGAGUAUGAGGAGGUGCUGCUGGGAGGCUCCAAGGACGCGUACGCUGACUUCCAAGGCGCCCCAGCCGACCAGGGCUCCGACUUGGAGGAUGAGCCCUCACUUCGGCAUCAGCACUGAGGUCUGGCUUCCCCUCAAAUACCCGAGGACUCCUCAGCACCCCAGCUCUCUGACUAAAAUGGGGAGAAGUUUCCACCCUGAAGCCAGCACCUCCCGUGGCUCCGUCUCAGAGUGCCUAGCUCCUGCAGCUCUUCCAGCCUGCCAGGGAGACCCGCUGGGGCCCAGUGUGGAGUGUCACUCUGGGGCCACUCUGCCCUGGCCUCUCCUGGAGGGCCACUGGCCCUGGCAUCCCCUGCACACGCAGCAGUCGUCAGGGCUGUGUCAGCCCUUGUGGCCUCUCGUGCUGGAGCCCUCGUGUUUCUGCUUUGCCUAUCAAUAAAGGCAGAUCUGAUUAUGCGGGA